UACGUAGGCAGCAAGCGUUGUUCGGAUUUACUGGGCGUAAAGGGUGCGUAGGCGGCUUGGUAAGUGUGGUGUGAAAUCUCCCAGCUCAACUGGGAGGGUGCGCUACAAACUGCCGGGCUAGAGUGCGGGAGAGGAGAGUGGAAUUCCUGGUGUAGCGGUGAAAUGCGUAGAUAUCAGGAGGAACACCGGUGGUGUAAACGGCUCUCUGGACCGUAACUGACGCUGAGACACGAAAGCGUGGGUAGCAAACAGG
rnacentral:rRNA from 1 species